rnacentral:snRNA from 1 species
AAGACUGUACUUUCAGGGAUCAUUUCUAUAGUUUGUUACUAGUGAAGUUUCUCUGAUCCUGUAAAG